rnacentral:lncRNA from 1 species
UCUUCCUUAUCUGAGGGUCGUGAUUUAGAAAACAUGCAGGGUCGUUCUAAUUAAAUGUAAUUGGAUCAAUUGAAUUAUUGGAGAGUAUAAUCGCUACAUGUUUGUAUAUAUUCGAAACACCUGUCUGUACAUGUAUGGAAACAGAUGCAUUUAGAUAAAACGUUUACUGUACGCCUUUAUCAUGAUUAUAAAAUCAGCUGUGUCAUUGUUAAUGGACAUCGCAAAUAAAUCAAGUCAGGA